CCUACGGGAGGCAGCAGUGAGGAAUAUUGGUCAAUGGGCGCGAGCCUGAACCAGCCAAGUAGCGUGCAGGAAGACUGCCCUAUGGGUUGUAAACUGCUUUUAUGCGGGGAUAAAGUGCAGCACGUGUGCUGUUUUGUAGGUACCGCAUGAAUAAGGACCGGCUAAUUCCGUGCCAGCAGCCGCGGUAAU
rnacentral:rRNA from 1 species